GUCAAAUCACGCUGAAAACACCGGUUCUCGUUCGAUCACCGGAGUUAAACGGCGUCGAUCCCAGUCAGUAUUUAGAUGGGGGACUCUUUGGGAAC